AUUGAACGCUGGCGGCAUGCCUUACACAUGCAAGUCGAACGGCAGCGGGGACUUCGGUCCGCCGGCGAGUGGCGAACGGGUGAGUAAUGCAUCGGAACGUACCCGGAAGUGGGGGAUAACGUAGCGAAAGUUACGCUAAUACCGCAUAUUCUGUGAGCAGGAAAGAGGGGGAUCUUCGGACCUCUUGCUUUCGGAGCGGCCGAUGUCAGAUUAGCUAGUUGGUGAGGUAAAGGCUCACCAAGGCGACGAUCUGUAGCGGGUCUGAGAGGAUGAUCCGCAACACUGGAACUGGGCCACGGUCCAGACUCCUACGGGAGGCAGCAGUGGGGAAUUUUGGACAAUGGGCGCAAGCCUGAUCCAGCCAUGCCGCGUGAGUGAAGAAGGCCUUCGGGUUGUAAAGCUCUUUCGGCCGGGAAGAAAUCGCAUGGAUUAAUACUCUGUGCGGAUGACGGUACCGGCAUAAGAAGCACCGGCUAACUACGUGCCAGCCGCCGCCGUAAUAC
rnacentral:rRNA from 1 species